CAGUAGCCACGGUAAGACGAACCGUGCGAACGUUAUUCGGAAUCACUGGGCUUAAAGCGCGUGUAGGCGGGAGGGCACGUCCGUCGCUGAAAUCCCCCGGCUCAACCGGGGAACGGGCGCGGAUACGACUCUUCUGGAGGAACGUAGGGGGACCUGGAACUUCCGGUGUAGCGGUGAAAUGCGUAGAUAUCGGAAGGAACACCAGUGGCGAAGGCGGCUACCUGGACUGAGACUGACACUGAGGCGCGAGAGCGUGGGGAGCAAACAGGAUUAGAUACCCCCGUAGUCCCUGUCUCUUAUA
rnacentral:rRNA from 1 species